CGGUCGCGUAACACGUAAGCAACCUGCCCUGAAGUGGGGGACAACAUCCCGAAAGGGGUGCUAAUACCGCAUGUGGUCACGAGUCGGCAUCGACUUGUGUCUAAAGAUUUAUCGCUUCAGGAUGGGCUUGCGGCCUAUCAGGUAGUUGGUGGGGUAAUGGCCUACCAAGCCGACGACGGGUAGCUGGUCUGAGAGGACGAUCAGCCGGAUUGGGACUGAGGUACGGCCCAGACUCCUACGGGGGGCAGCAAUUAGGAAUCUUGCGCAAUGGGGGAAACCCUGACGCAGCGACGUCGCGUGAAGGAUGAAGGCCCUCGGGUCGUAAACUUCUUUUGAGUGGGAAGAAAUUUGACGGUACCACUCGAAUAAGCCCCGGCUAACUACGUGCCAGCAGCCGCGGUAAUACGUAGGGGGCGAGCGUUGUCCGAAGUUACUGGGCGUAAAGCGCGCGUAGGCGGUUAUUUAAGUCUGGGGUGAAAGGUUCAGCGCUCAACGUGAACAGUGCCUU
rnacentral:rRNA from 1 species